UACGGAGGGUGCAAGCGUUAUCCGGAUUCACUGGGUUUAAAGGGUGCGUAGGUGGGUCUGUAAGUCAGUGGUGAAAUCUCCGAGCUUAACUCGGAAACUGCCAUUGAUACUAUAGAUCUUGAAUCAUCUGGAGGUAAGCGGAAUAUGUCAUGUAGCGGUGAAAUGCUUAGAUAUGACAUAGAACACCAAUUGCGAAGGCAGCUUACUACGGGUGCAUUGACACUGAGGCGCGAAAGCUAGGGGAGCAAACGGG
rnacentral:rRNA from 1 species